AAUUAUUUGCUGUUUGCAAAUAAAAGCUGGCUCUUCGGGUAAGAGCCUCAAUUUAGUGAACAAUUAUUGUAACACUGAUUAACAAAAAAUAAUAAUAAUCCUUGGAUGACUUGGGUAGCACUUCAUAGCCACGGGAGAAAUAUGAUGAUGGGACUGCCUGAACGAAUAAAGCCUUCAAAUACAUACAAGGAAGCAAUAUUUAAUCAUUUUUUACUGGGACAAAGCAGACUCCAACACUAUGCAGCUGGUAUGGGAACAAGCUGAUACUCUGAUGUCAGGCAUGCCAGCAAAUUAGACUGGCUCUUGGGCAGCCUAGGCUUCAUUAUCAUUUGUGUUCGUAAGGCAGAAAAUACGAUCAGCCCCAUACAAAAGGUGCAUCGUAGGUCAACCCUGCUGAACCUCGCUUGCUUUAAUCCGACGCUUCAGCCAGGAAAUCAAAUCCAGACGAGAAGCCCGGCCUGGGAGGCAGUUGGGCACUUCCAGCAAUCCGUCAGACGAGGGGCUGAGCCGCUAGGAAAAGCCGGCUAUCACCGGAGUCAUCUUAACAGAUUUCCACAGAGAAAUAUUCAUACGUGCGUGUCUGUUUGGAUGGAUUGGAUGGACUGGACACUCAGCGGGCUCCCACAAGCAUUUCGCGCGGCUCGGGGGGAUUGUGGGCUUCUAUUGACUCCCGCUCCCGCGCAUGAAAUAACAUCGCCCGCGCCGGCCUAUAACUCUGUAAUGUGUCUCUUAUUGAAUCCUUCCACGGCACCUCGCGGUUUAAAUUGCAGCUGUCUGGUUUGGAGGGGCGGCGGACUGCGGCUUAUGAGACCGGUACGUUGCUGAAGGCUCCGACGGGAUUGCUGCUGCCUCUCACAAAUGCGCCACUGUCGCCUGGCUGGCGGAAACUACCGUGGCGACCGCCGCAAACAAUAAUGAUGAAGGAUGUCAGAGUCGUCGAGGGCGAUUGACAGAAAUGAGAAAUGUGCAUGGAAUGCUCAGAGCAAGUUCGGUCAGGAUGCUGGGGAACCUCCACCAGGAGGACCUGCACUCUGGGGCCAGAAGCAUGUGACCUGCACCACAGGAACAUACCUGCACAAUCCAAGAGUGUGAGGCGAAUGGUCAAUGAACUGAAGGAACACUUUCUCAGCUCCUGUUUCGGUACUAAACAUCAUCUUCUCUGCCAUAGCAGUGGGCUGCCUCACUGCCUCACAUACACUUCAACUGCCACUUUUCUGGGAUCAGUGCAGCUACUGUGGCAGCUCCUGAAGUUCCCACGGCCAUACUCAGAAAUCAUGACAAUAGUCAUCUGCUGCUUUUGAAGGCUACAACAUACCAAUGUCUCCAUACCAAGAGCAACAAUCAAGCUCAUAUCAUUGGCAUCUACAUAUGCUGCAUGCGCUGCUAACAUUUGCUACUUGCUGCUGCUGCUAUGUUUAGUAUAUAAUGAAUGAAUAAAUAAAUAAAUAAAUAAGCUCCAGGUAGUGCUGGGCACUGACUCAUUUAAAAGUAGUCCUUUUCUGAUCCCGGUGUCACCAGGUUGCAUCGGCAGUGGACUUCCUGAUCUUCAGGAAACAGCAGGUGAUCUGUUCUACGCAUAGAUUUCUGUCACUAUCACAUAAUUUUAGUAUGGCCAACAUCAGAUCGAGGAUUUCAGCUCAUGUUCUGUCUGUGUGCUGGAGAGAUAUCAUCAUGGUCUUACCGAUUAUUCUGGAAACAGCAGAUGCUCUGCUGUGCAUAUAAUUUUGGGUUUGGCAAUUGGAUGAUUUGGGGAUUUCUGUUAUUCCUCCUGUUCAGUAGGGAAGACGUAUUGUGCUCCCUGGUAGAUAAGGUAGUGGACACUGGUGUGAGCACUGUAAUACCUGAAGCAGAUCCAUUUGGCACCGAACCGAAAAAUGUACUUUCAUAUUCAUUAAAAUAUUUAAUCUAAAUACAUAAGUGGUCCUGACUGAAAUGAAUUUGUAUAGGAAUAUUUCAAAUAGAACCAUCAAAGUGAAUAUUUUGGCAAGCCAAUCUGAUGGCACUGUGAUGAUGUGGCCUCAUGCCAGCCUCAUCACAUCACUUUCAUUUUUACACUCACCAUUUCUCUACUCUUUUAGUCACCUAAGGACUUCAUAUUGUUUACAUUCAGCUGUUCACUUCAUCAGUAAAAACAAACACACGUAGUCAUUCAUUUACUUACACAUUGUUUAUAAAAUCUACCAUCCAUUGUUCAGCUGAUUUGUUCUUUCUGUUUGCCACUGUCUCUUUUUACCGUUUUCAGUUUGAAAUCAUGUUUGCUCUGCCAGAGGCGCCGCCGUCAGAUGUUAUUUCCUGGAUGCGACAGCUGCGUAUAUCCGGGAAAUACCGAUCUUUACAUUUCAAAUUUCACAGGUUAUUUUUAAAGUGUACCUCAGACUGGUUAAAAAUGAUUUACUUUAUAAUAAGUUUAAUUCAAUUCAAUAUUAAACUUAUAUUCUGUAUUGUGUGGUGAUGUUUGGACUCAUUACUAAACAGAUAAUAUCCAAACUUUAAUGCAGCUCCCCUGUCAUUUCUUUGGUAUAGUCCCUUGGAGGGUUUCUUAUUUAAGCAGUGGGUUUUGGGACUGCAGGGGGACUGGUUAAAGUAGAGGUACCGUAUGUGAUACUUAGUGAGCUGUUGAAGCGAGCGUCUAUUAUUGUACUGUCUAGUUAAGAUAUUGUGGCUGUUAACCUAUACAUUUCUUAGGGCAUUUGUUUUGUUUAUUUUUUUAUUUUUUGUCUUCUAGUCUUUUGUUGUUUAUUCUUACACUUCUGAGCACUGUAUAUAAACCUGGCACUUUUUGCACUGAAUUUUGUUGUCCUGCAUGCUUCCCUACCAUCCCCCAUGGCGACUCAACCAACUACAUCAUUACAGGCACCUGUAGGUCAUAUAAUUUCCUUCUCAAUCUUUAAAAUGACCACAGGCUCAACCCACUGAAUCGAAGGCAUUAACUGCAAUUAGCAGAAAACAAUAGCACAAAAAACCUCUACCAAUCCUCUGUCUGUCCGAAGCAGUGCACUGCCCUGCACAGCACAGUUUAAACUAGAAAAAAUGCAAUUAAAUCAUUUCUCUGAACUCUAAGAACGGAUUUAGGUUAUACACAUCACCCUAUUUUUGAGUGCCGUUUCCUGAAACUAAUGUCACGAAGACCUUAGUCCUCAAAACACCUGCUGUUUUUCAUGUUGUUCUCAUUAAACUUACAUUUGUAUGUAUUCCAAAAAUGCGAAUUUUAAAUAUGUACAUGAAAUAAAUAAUAUUAAUAUUAGAACAGGACAUGACAUCAAAUACUGGUGGGGAAAGAAGGUCAAUAAUUACUUCAUGUUCAAAUACUGAAACAUAGGAGCACAACCGAACAAAAACGUAACCAAUAUCUUCUCAUUGAUAUGCUAAUUAUCUCAGUAAUAAAAAGGAAGCCCUUCUAGGCGG